rnacentral:rRNA from 1 species
AUUGAACGCUGGCGGCAGGCCUAACACAUGCAAGUCGAGCGGAGCGACGGACGGGCGAGUGAUUCCUAGGAAUCUGCCUGGUAGUUGGGGAUAACGUACGGAAACGGGCGCUAACACCGAAUACUAUCAGUCGAGCCUAGGUCGGUUUAGCUAGUUGGUGGGGUAAAGGCCUACCAAGGCGACGAUCCGUACCUGGUCUGAGAGGAUGAUCAGUCACACUGGAACUGAGACACGGUCCAGACUCCUACGGGAGGCAGCAGUGGGGAAUAUUGGACAAUGGGCGAAAGCCUGAUCCAGCCAUGCCGCGUGUGUGAAGAAGGUCUUCGGAUUGUAAAGCACUUUAAGUUGGGAGGCGUUACCAGCAGAAUAAGCACCGGCUAACUUCGUGCCAGCAGCCGCGGUAAUUC